GAUGAACGCUGGCGGCGUGCCUAAUACAUGCAAGUCGAGCGAACGGACGAGAAGCUUGCUUCUCUGAUGUUAGCGGCGGACGGGUGAGUAACACGUGGAUAACCUACCUAUAAGACUGGGAUAACUUCGGGAAACCGGAGCUAAUACCGGAUAAUAUUUUGAACCGCAUGGUUCAAAAGUGAAAGACGGUCUUGCUGUCACUUAUAGAUGGAUCCGCGCUGCAUUAGCUAGUUGGUAAGGUAACGGCUUACCAAGGCAACGAUGCAUAGCCGACCUGAGAGGGUGAUCGGCCACACUGGAACUGAGACACGGUCCAGACCCCUACGGGAGGCAGCAGUAGGGAAUCUUCCGCAAUGGGCGAAAGCCUGACGGAGCAACGCCGCGUGAGUGAUGAAGGUCUUCGGAUCGUAAAACUCUAUUAUUAGGGAAGAACAUAUGUGUAAGUAACUGUGCACAUCUUGACGGUACCUAAUCAGAAAGCCACGGCUAACUACGUG
rnacentral:rRNA from 1 species